GAGACUAUGUCUAUAUCAGACGAGCAGUGGUAGAUUCAUUGUCUAAUGUCAUGGUGCUAGUUUCUAGAGCAGUGGAUCAUCCAAAUUGCCCUGAGAGUCAGAAGUGUGUCAGAGUGAAGAACUAUUUCUCAAAGUUGAUUAUACGGCCUUAUUCGCUUUGAUGAAAAUGGAUUUGAUUAUGUGCUUACUUACUUCGAUGAUCCAAAAGCAAUCUUUCCAUCUCCUGCUUACAAUUGGAUUGCUUCCACGGGUGUUCCCGACUUUGUCAAAAAAAUUACAUGAUGCAGCCAAAGGACUGCAGCAGAAAUCAUUGUCUCAAGAGAAGUGUCCUACUUUCUCUGGUUCAUGCACUACUGUGAACAUACAGAAUUUUUCAUACGCUUAAAUAAACUUGCCAAACAUGAUGCUUUUGUUCGUUUUAACUAGUUUUCAUUAAAAAAUCAAAGUAUAAAA